UCAGGACUGUCCCUAUAAAAUCAGGACAUCUGGUCACCCUACUUGCAGGUCACCGACAGUGGUAGGGGAGCGGAAAGGUAUAGGGACAUGAGGUCUAAUCCUCUCUCUCUGUGAACAGCAUAUAGUUGGAUGGGUUUUUAUUACAGAGGUACCAGUUGUAGCUCCAUGGUGAAGGCUGAGUUACAUAUUAUGCUUAAAGAGAAUGAGUCCUUUGCUCUGGUACAAAUGAAAAAUGCAAGGGAUCCCCCCACAAAAUUGAUAGCAGUGACUUGGAGCAGGGAAUUCAUUUUCUAAGAAUUUUCAAGUAAAUCUGUUAACUAGUUGAGGGGUAGUUUAGAUCAUAGGCACAGCUCUGCUAACUCAGUUGGUAGCGCAUGAGACUCAGUCUCAUGGGUCAUGGGUUGGAGCCCCAUGUUGGGUGGUAGGUUUGGCCCCUGAUGGAAGACAGGAUACUGUGCUAUGGAAAUGUACAGUUAGGAAACCCAAAUCACCUUAACUCAGCCUUUCAGCCUCCCAAGCGCUUAGAAGUAGUCCCUUUGCAAAUUAAUUGGUGACCAAACAGUAAGGAUUAAUUUUCUUGAUCUGCAACACAUUUUUGUCAGUCAGUAACAAAGUGAAGGACAGCAGCCCAGUCCAACAGGUAGAGCACUGGACUGAGGGGUCAAAAGGAGUGAAUUCAAGCCAGUGAGUCACUUUGCAAACUUGGUCAAAUCACUUCACCUCACUGUGCCUCAGCCUUACCAAUCUGUAAAAUGGGAACAAUGUUACAUACAUCUCUCUUUACAACACGCCUUGAGAGCUAGGUUUCAGAAGCAUUACACAUAGCUUGACACAAGAACAAGCACAAGGAAACAUUACACACACUGACUAAGUGAAAGACAGCUACUGCCUGUUGCAAAAUGAUCACUUUAGGGCAUCAGCUGUUUGUCUUUGCCCAAUUUAAAGGGCCAGUGUCACAAAAGGCAUUCAGGGGGGAAAAAUUCCAAAAAGAGGGCAAUCUUCCAGUAGAGAGAGUUAAUAGAAAAUAAGAAGCUUUGAGGGAAGGGAGCAAUGGUACUUAAGUUAUGCUUUGGCUUGUAAUGUCAUCACUUGAUUAAUAAUAAUAGUACUUUUCAAUGGGAGGUUUUUUUUUUUUACAAAGGAUCAUUAACCCCAGUUUACAGAUAGGGAAACUGAGGCAUAGACCAAUGUGACUGCCCCAAAGUCACGUAGAAGUCAGAGCCAGGAACAGAACCAAUGUCUUUAGGGUCUUAGUCCAGUGUCAUAGCCACUAGGUAACACUCCCUAUUAUAGCAACUAUUCCUACAAACUUUCUUUUCUAACCCAUGCACGAACAUGCUUCUUCGUAGCAUCCAAUUAAAUUUUCCAUGGGAACACCAAAUAGAUUGAAUAGAUGUAUAGAUUCCAAGGACAGAAGGGAUCAUUGUGUUCACCUCGUCUGACCUCCUGUGUAACACAAGCCAUAAGACUUCCCCGAAUCAAUCCCUGUUUGAACUAGAGUUGACCUUUUAGAAAAAUGUCCAACCUUGAUUUAAAAAUUGCUUAUGCUGGAGAAUUCACCACAACCCUUAUUAAAUUAUUCUAAUGGUUAAUUACCCCCAUUGUUAAAAACUUGUGCCUCAUUUCUUGUCUGAAUUGGUCUAGCUUCAGCUUCCAGGCACUUGAUGUUGUUAGACCUUUGUCUGCUAGAUAGAAGAGCCAUUCAGUGGAGUCGCAUCAUACCCGCAUUUAACUUACGCGAAUUCAACUAUACGCGCUCGGCAAAAAAAAAGAAAAAUAACAAUAACUCGCGGCGGUGGAGUACUGUACAGGAGUCGACGGGAGAGCACUCGGGGGGGUCGAUUUAUCCUCGGGGGAAAAUAAAUCCUCUUGCCUCUAGAUAAAGGGCUGCGGCCUUGCAGUCUAGGAAUGUAUCAGAAGCACUAACGUUUCCUUCCUGUUUCUCUGUCUCAGACACGGUGCCUAUUGCAAACCCUCUCCAAAGCCUCCAGGACGAAGUCACCCUCUCCCUCUGCCUCGACUAUUUCAGCGAUCCCGUGACGCUAACCUGCGGGCACAGCUUCUGCCUGGCCUGCAUCAGCCUUUGUUGCAAUGGUUACAAAGACAAAUGUGGAAACCUGACUCAAGUGUAUCCUGAGGACUCAAACCCCAGAAGGCAAAGACAAAGAACUCAAAAUUUCUGUGACAUAGGGGCAAUCAAUGAUUUUGACCUCCUUUGUAAAGAACCCUAUGGAUGUUGCCAACCAAAAAUCCAGAGAAAUAAUCACCCUGGCAGAGAGGAGCCUGAUGGGAAAUGUACAGACAGGUAAACGGAGGCCAAGAGAGGGGCUGGGACCUGCCCAAAAGCCAUAGAGGGGUCAAAGGCCCAGCCAUUAAUAGAACUCAGGAGUCCUGACUCCCAGGUCCUUCUGCUCUAACCACUAAAUGCCACUCUCCUCCCAAAGCUGGAGAGGGAACCCAGGAGUCCUGACUCCCAAUCCCCUGCUGUUCUAACCCGUAAACCCCUCUCCCCUUCCACUGCUGGGGAUAGACCCCAGGAGUCCUGACUCUAAACCCUCCUGCUGCUCUAACCAGUGAACCCCUUUCCCCUCCCAAAGCUGUGGAUAGAACCCAGGAGUCCUGACUCCCAGCCCCUCUUUUUUAACCCAUUUAACCCCAACCUGCCUGGUGCUCCUGCUGGGAAACAGGGGAAGCCCCAUGCCCCAACCCCAUUUCUCCAGGAGGAGCACCGGGGGCAGGGGGCGCAGAGGGGACUGCAGACGGAAGGGUUGGGGAGGGGCCCCCAUUUGCUCUAGUCAAGGGCCUCAGAAA